rnacentral:rRNA from 1 species
AGUGAACGCUGGCGGUAGGCCUAACACAUGCGAGUCGAACGGCAGCACAGUAAGAGCUUGCUCUUACGGGUGGCGAGUGGCGGACGGGUGAGGAAUACAUCGGAAUCUACUUUUUCGUGGGGGAUAACGUAGGGAAACUUACGCUAAUACCGCAUACGACCUACGGGUGAAAGCAGGGGAUCUUCGGACCUUGCGCGAUUGAAUGAGCCGAUGUCGGAUUAGCUAGUUGGCGGGGUAAAGGCCCACCAAGGCGACGAUCCGUAGCUGGUCUGAGAGGAUGAUCAGCCACACUGGAACUGAGACACGGUCCAGACUCCUACGGGAGGCAGCAGUGGGGAAUAUUGGACAAUGGGCGCAAGCCUGAUCCAGCCAUACCGCGUGGGUGAAGAAGGCCUUCGGGUUGUAAAGCCCUUUUGUUGGGAAAGAAAAGCAGCAGGUUAAUACCCCGCUGUUCUGACGGGACCCAAAGAAUAAGCACCGGCUAACUUCGU